ACAGUGAAGUGUUACUCUGCUUAAAAAUACUACUACUUUAGCGCCUCCAGAACCACCAUUCGUAAUUCUUGUCCAAGAUUUACAGCUAAAAUCUGAAAGUGUGUAGAGCUCGUGGUAUGAUCACAUACAACUGGUGCAAGAUGACAGUAGCAAAUUAAACAUGUCAGCGUCCUCGCAAAAACAUUCUCCAACUCUAGAAGCGCGCCAGGGACUUGGGGGUUGAGAGUGGCAGGACAGCUUCACAAUUGUGACGUUAAGGCCAGAACAACAGGCCCGAUGCAAGUUAGAUAAUUAGAGGUGGGCAGUGGGCAGUGGUCAGCGAAAGGGGACAACGAAGGGACGACUUUUGUCCGUUUUUACAAAUUGACAGUGUAACGAUUUUUUUUGUUGUUGUUGUUGAUUGUAUAUGUAUAUGAUAAAUUUUAAUGAUUUUUUUUGUCAACAUUUGUGACAAAUUCUUUGCAGUAAAUAAAUACAUGUAUUAAAACCAUGUGUAUCCUUUGCUUCUAUAUAAUAAACUUCAUCUGGUGGUUUCAUCAUGGGGGGGGGGGGGAGGAGAUGGAUAAAGAAAAAGACAGAAAACAGGCAUUUCUUCAGACUUCUUAGAUCUAUCACUGACGUUUUACCUGAGAUUGUAUUGGAUCUCCACAUGGAGCUACAUAAUGUAUGUUAUGAGUUUCUAAAGAAAUUCGAUGCUUCUCGUCCGAGAGAGCCAAGCCCUGCCCAGGACACAGGUACAGCUGGUUCCCAGUAGAGCCAGCAGAAAAGGUCAACCAUCAUAAAGCCAGUAACUAAGGCUCUAACGUCAUAGAGGAACCAAGUUUGUAAAUAGUUGAAACAUGCAGAAAAUGAAAACAGCAUGCCUGAGAUGAAAUCUAAAACCACGACACCCAUUUAUCUUUAUUCAUGAUUGUAACGGACAAGUGCGAAAUAGAGGGGGGAAGGGGGGAAGGUUGACAACCGUGGUUGACCUGUUUUUGGUGGGAAGUGUGGGCCACGGUGGGUAUUCAAGCCCGACCGUGAGCGGCCAGUGGGCGGCUGAUCAUAACUUGGUGGAUUUGUGGUUUUUCUUCACCGACUCGCUGCUGCUGCGAUCUCUGUGGACGUAAUGCUGUGGAUGUACAUCACUGCUCGUGUUUUCUGGAGUCCGCGUCCUCGCCGUGAGAGCUCUGUGGGUUUGAGCGACACGCCGUGCACCGGCGUAGGCGAGCAACCGACGGACCAGGACCAGAAAACUUUGUGUGAGCAAGGGGGGAGGCUACUCUACCUUUCUUUAGGCUUGCGCACUACCAUCCGUCAUCCGGAAGGGAAAGUAUCAGAUCAGCCCGAGUUUAAACCGCCGGUGGAGGGGAGGCUUUCUCUCACCUUCCAACUCACCUACUCUCAUCCGGCCAACCACCUGGAAGACAAACGCAUGCGCAGGGUAGCGACUUUCUGCCAGCGACCUUUCGGUAUUGUAAAACACUCUAUUUAUGAUAAAUCGAAUUAAAGGCAGGAAAGUUGGUAUUUAUCCUAUAAACAGAGGAGUUGGGAGGAUUGCAGUGACUAUGAUAUAAUAACGUAUGGGUUUCGUCAAGGACUUACAUUUAGUAUUAUAAUAUUGUGGAUAAUAACGUUGGAAUUUCGUCAAGGACUUACAGCACCGGAGACUGCUGAAUACCUUACAGGUGACAUUAUUUGUGUGAACCAGCUUUAUCGUUGUCUUUAUUGUUGAAUUGGAUUCUUGACAUUACUUUAUUUGUGUGAACCAGCUUUAUUGUUGUCUCUAUUAGUGCCUUGGAUUAUUGAUAUACUAUACUGGUAAUAUAUCUUGUAUAGGAAAGAAGGAGUGGUACACUGAUUAUUGAUACAUUGUUUUAGUUAUUUGUUUGUACCCAAUAAUUAUUGGUGCCUUGAAGGAGGGACGCCCACCUUAUCUUAUCUCUUUUGUGGAAAGAAUGCGCAUGUCUGCGGGUGGACCGUGACAUAUUGGUGACCCCGACGUGAUCGCUUUAGGGUGAGGCUUUUCGAGGUGAGGCCGGGUUUACACACAUUUUUUGGUUGCAAGAGUUUUUCACCUGCAUCUCGGGUUUUGUUUUAUCCCCCGUCUCCGAUUACACGGGUCUGCCGGCGUGUAUAGUUCUGCCGACAGAGAGGGCAGUAGGUCUGGUCUUGCUGUUAAAUGUGUCUAUUUUUCACAGCUCUAGUAACUUAAGCCUAGAAUCCUUAAUUGUGUGUUAUUUGUGUGGGCGUUCCUUUCUGAAUUAGACACGUGUCAGUUGUAAAUCGAUGUGAAUGCUAACUGUUCCUGCUUGGACUUAGCAUUAUGUUCUUUUAGUUGUUAUUUUUAGACAGUAACUUUUACUGGGAAUUAAUUUUGUGAUAAAAAUAUUGUUUCCAAUAAGUCUUAUUUUGUGAAAUGGCAAAGUUUUUAUUUUUGUUAUUCUUAUUAUUGGUGAUCAUUUUGACUAUUCUUGUAUUGUUUUCAAACAAAGGCUAGGUCAAGGCUGAUAGAAAGUUCUCACGCUAUGAUUUGAGCUCUUUUCUAGACAAGACAAAGGAUCGGAAAUGUCCUUACAUGGACGCAUGUAUUAACAUACUUUGCAGAUACCUAAUCAGAAUUCAUGCCAACCAUGACGGGGUUAUAGGCUACAUGUACGAAAGCUCUUCGGAAGUUUUCCAGGGUUCCCAGGGAUCAGGGAGGGUGCCAGAACGGGUCAACGCACCUCUGAAGUCAAUUGCUGAAGUCGACACACUUCUCAGGAAGGGUUGCAGUGAGGAACUUAGACAGCUUUGAGCCGACCUCAGACAACUUUACUCCACAAGAGCCACGAAAGACCAAGACGCUGAUGUCACUCCCCAGAAGUUUCUAGCCAAAAACGCUGAGCUUGCAUCUCGAACUUUCUUGUGGAAAACGCUGAGCUUGCAUCUAGAUCUUUCUGUCAACAUGCUUCCAUUCGUCCUACGUCAUAACCCCAAUUAGAUGACGAAAAAAACAAAAAUCCUCGCGAAAAUUGCGUCAGCAUUCGCGCGUCUUUGUACCAGAGACAAUACCCAAGUAGAACAAAGGGGAAAAAAACCACUCGCUCGAAUCGCGAAUCGUUACAGUUAUCUGAAGCCUUGAUGCACCCAUUGUUCUUCUGUACAGCUUCUGAAGAUAAUAAAAUAUGGGAAAAUUGGGAUUUGUAAAUUAAAGAAGGUAAAUAGGUUUACAGAUUAAAAGAAGUCUCACACCACACAUCUUAUUUCAGUUCUAUGGUGCUUCUGCUUCUUCCCCAUGUCUUUCUGUUUUCAGGUGUCUUUAAGCAAGUUUCACACAUGGAAGCACAAUUGAUUCUGACAAGAGUUU